GAUGAACGCUAGCUACAGGCUUAACACAUGCAAGUCGAGGGGCAGCAUGGAAGAAGCUUGCUUCUUCUGAUGGCGACCGGCGCACGGGUGCGUAACGCGUAUCAAACCUGCCUCAUACUCGGGGAUAGCCUUGCGAAAGUAAGAUUAAUACCCGAUGUUGUUAUGUUACCGCAUGGUGAUAUAACCAAAGAUUUAUCGGUAUGAGAUGGUGAUGCGUCCGAUUAGGUAGUAGGCGGGGUAACGGCCCACCUAGCCUUCGAUCGGUAGGGGUUCUGAGAGGAAGGUCCCCCACACUGGAACUGAGACACGGUCCAGACUCCUACGGGAGGCAGCAGUGAGGAAUAUUGGUCAAUGGACGCAAGUCUGAACCAGCCAAGUAGCGUGCAGGAUGACGGCCCUCUGGGUUGUAAACUGCUUUUAGUUGGGAAUAAAAAAGAGGACGUGUCCUCUAUUGUAUGACCUCAGAAAAAGG
rnacentral:rRNA from 2 species